GAUGAACGCUGGCGGCGUGCCUAAUACAUGCAAGUCGAGCGAACGGACGAGAAGCUUGCUUCUCUGAUGUUAGCGGCGGACGGGUGAGUAACACGUGGAUAACCUACCUAUAAGACUGGGAUAACUUCGGGAAACCGGAGCUAAUACCGGAUAAUAUUUUGAACCGCAUGGUUCAAAAGUGAAAGACGGUCUUGCUGUCACUUAUAGAUGGAUCCGCGCUGCAUUAGCUAGUUGGUAAGGUAACGGCUUACCAAGGCAACGAUGCAUAGCCGACCUGAGAGGGUGAUCGGCCACACUGGAACUGAGACACGGUCCAGACUCCUACGGGAGGCAGCAGUAGGGAAUCUUCCGCAAUGGGCGAAAGCUUGACGGAGCAACGCCGCGUGAGUGAUGAAGGUCUUCGGAUCGUAAAACUCUGUUAUUAGGGAAGAACAUAUGUGUAAGUAACUAUGCACAUCUUGACGGUACCUAAUCAGAAAGCCACGGCUAACUACGUG
rnacentral:rRNA from 1 species